rnacentral:lncRNA from 1 species
CUCGCUCAUGGCCGGGCUAGAAGGAACGGAGUACCAUCAUGACUUUUUGCUUCUAUACCUAAAGAUGUUCCCGGCCGAGAGAAGAAGCCCCAUAGUAAUGCAGGCUUUGAAUUUGGCGGAGCAGAGAGACGCGGAGAAACAAACGGAAACUCGAGAACAGAACGAUGGCUGUCAGGCUUAUAGCUGUCCUGUGCCUGAUAACUACCUUUGAUUGCUCUCUAUUCAUUUCUUUCGUAUUAUCUCUAUUAGCCUUUUGUAAGACAAAGUGUACAGAUCAAUUAUUGUUAGAAAGAAACGAUGAUUGUGUAAAAGAUUGUAUAAAUUCGUGUAAAAUUCGUUUUCUGUAUGAAUGUCGAUCUAGCAUAGAAUCUGUUUAUGUAGCAUAAAAGACAUUUACACAGAGAUUCUUCCUUUGCUUUCACUAUUACGUGCUUUCCAGCUUUUCGAAGAAUAACGACAUCAGAAUUAUUUUAGUAAUGGGGUUAAUCAUGCGUUAUUCUUUCAGCUUCUACGAAAAUGAAAGUCACUUGCUCUUGACAGCUGCAGACACGUCCAAACUGCUUCAGCUUCUGGUACAAUGGCCUUCUCCAGUUCAGCCUUCUUCCACAUACACAUAUUUCUUAGUUAAUCCAUACGAAAGGUGGAAUUGCGAUUCAUAUUAGUAGCCGAUUCCGAAGUACUUUCAUUCGCAUAUUUAAAUCUUCAUACAUGAUAUGUCUCCUAAUUUGAAACCUGUUACAUGUUAUAUAACUUAUAUCAUUACACAACUUAUAUAAAUUAUACUAUUAUAUAAUUUUUGUUAUUCCCAUCUCCAUAAAAGAGAUUAGUGUAUGGUCUAUUGCAUGUAAUCAUGUUCAAUAAACAGAUUCAUC